AGUGAACGCUGGCGGUAGGCCUAACACAUGCAAGUCGAACGGCAGCACAGUAAGAGCUUGCUCUUUCGGGUGGCGAGUGGCGGACGGGUGAGGAAUACAGCGGAAUCUACUUUUUCGUGGGGUAAAACGUAGGGAAACUUACGCUAAUACCGCAUACGACCUACGGGUGAAAGCAGGGGAUCUUCGGACCUUGCGCGCGUAAAUGAGCCGAUGUCGGAUUAGCUAGUUGGCGGGGUAAAGGCCCACCAAGGCGACGAUCCGUAGCUGGCCUGAGAGGAUGAUCAGCCACACUGGAACUGAGACACGGUCCAGACUCCUACGGGAGGCAGCAGUGGGGAAUAUUGGACAAUGGGCGCAAGCCUGAUCCAGCCAUACCGCGUGGGUGAAGAAGGCCUUCAGGUUGUAAAGCCCUUUUGUUGGGAAAGAAAAGCAGCAGGUUAAUACCCCGCUGUUCUGACGUUACCCAAAGAAUAAGCACCGGCUAACUUCGUG
rnacentral:rRNA from 1 species